rnacentral:rRNA from 1 species
UGCCAGCAGCCGCGGUAAUACGAGGGGACCUAGCGUAGUUCGGAAUUACUGGGCUUAAAGAGUUCGUAGGUGGUUGAAAAAGUUGGUGGUGAAAUCCCAGAGCUUAACUCCGGAACUGCCAUCAAAACUUUUUAGCUAGAGUAUGAUAGAGGAAAGCAGAAUUUCUAGCGUAGAGGUGAAAUUCGUAGAUAUUAGAAAGAAUACCGAUUGCGAAGGCAGCUUUCAGGAUCAUUACUGACGCUGAGGAACGAAAGCAUGGGUAGCGAAGAGGAUUAGAUA